rnacentral:rRNA from 1 species
UGGGGAAUUUUGGACAAUGGGCGAAAGCCUGACCCAGCAAUGCCGCGUGUGUGAAGAAGGCCUUCGGGUUGUAAAGCACUUUUGUCCGGAAAGAAAUCCUUGGCUCUAAUACAGUCGGGGGAUGACGGUACCGGAAGAAUAAGCACCGGCUAACUACGUGCCAGCAGCCGCGGUAAUACGUAGGGUGCAAGCGUUAAUCGGAAUUACUGGGCGUAAAGCGUGCGCAGGCGGUUUGCUAAGACCGAUGUGAAAUCCCCGGGCUCAACCUGGGAACUGCAUUGGUGACUGGCAGGCUAGAGUAUGGCAGAGGGGGGUAGAAUUCCACGUGUAGCAGUGAAAUGCGUAGAGAUGUGGAGGAAUACCGAUGGCGAAGGCAGCCCCCUGGGCCAAUACUGACGCUCAUGCACGAAAGCGUGGGGAGCAAACAGGAUUAGAUACCCUGGUAGUCCACGCCCUAAAACGAUGUCAACUAGUUGUUGGGGAUUCAUUUCCUUAGUAACGUAGCUAACGCGUGAAGUUGACCGCCCGGGGAGUACGGUCGCAAGAUUAAAACUUAAAUGAAUUGACGGGGUC